ACGUGGUACAUUGGUAAUGCCCAGUGGAGCGUUUGAACCCUGGAUGUGUGAAGAAUCCUGUUGGAGCCUUUGUGCUUGGGCUGUGUACCAUAACUUCCUCCAGUGGAACAAUACGGGACCGGAAGAGGCUCUUCUCACACUUACCCAUUUAUUAACUUUGUGGGGCUCUUGUUUAAGUGGAAAAUCACUCCGUCCAAUAAAGGAGGAGAAGAAAGAUCCCAAUUCACCAUCGUUUUUUUUAUUCCCGUUUUUAAUGUCUUCUCUGAAUCGCAUUCUCAUUGGAGGGUCGCCUUUUUUUUCGUCCGUUUUUUGGGAGGUCGUUGGGGAAAUUUCUCCAGUGCGUUAUUGGUGUGGGAUAAUGGACAGGACACACCCUAAUUCAGGAAUUUCUCUCUGUUUUUUCUUCUUUCUGUCCGUGGAUACGGUGGUCCCGGCGAAGUUCAGACACUCCAGAACAGAGCCUAUAAGAUGAGCGUCAACGUGAAAGGCUUGGGAGGUGAAGAUCAAGUCAUGCGUCCUCCGAAACAUGACCCACCAAACUGCGCUUCUUAACACUCGCCCGCUUAACCCGGAAGCCAGCCGCACCAAUAUGUCGGAGGAAACACCGUUUACCUGAUGACCGAGGUCAGCCUGCAGGCCCCCGGCCUGCCACAAGGAGUCGCUAAACCGCGAUGAGCCAAGACCUCCCGGCCAAACGCUACCCUAACCUAUGGGACUCCCAAUCACAGCCAGUUGUGAUACAGCCCAGGACCAAACCAGGACCAUGCAGGCUGGUCGCCCCUGCAGAGGCGUGUAACCAUGGCAGCAGUGCAUGUGUGGAGGCCCUGCUGUCCCUCACCUGAACGGCCAGGUAGGCGGAGUCAGUCUGCUACACGAUGCUCUGUGGACACACAGACAUUGACAAGAUGCUGCAGCAUGCAGGUCAGUACACACACACAUACACACAGAUUAACAAAUGCAUGCACACACAAAGAUAUUGGUACAAGUUUGAGGGGUAUUUGAACCACUAUGGUACUUGGA